GUAAUAUUCGGAUCGUCGGUCUAUUGAGAGAUUACACCCGCUCUGUAGAAGAUCUUGCCUUUGUCGU
rnacentral:pre_miRNA from 1 species